UCAAAGCAGGCCACCUAAUCAUUGCUUCUGCUGGGCACUUGCUUCAAAGUAUAACUGGCGAGAGCAGAUGCUGAGGAAACUGCGGAAUGGAAGCCAAGAUGAGGUCAAGUGUGAAAACAAAGAGGGUUGUGAGCAGCAGUGCCUCUCGGCAGGAGUGAGUGGUGGUUUCUGCACCGAAGACACAGUCCC
rnacentral:lncRNA from 1 species